GCCUAACACAUGCAAGUCGAACGAAGCUCUGCGAUACAAGACCUCGGUCAAGUUGAACGGAUGACUUAGUGGCGGACGGGUGAGUAACGCGUGAGGAACCUGCCUUUCAGUGGGGGAUAACAGUUGGAAACGACUGCUAAUACCGCAUAAUGUAUUCUGACCGCAUGAUCGGAAUACCAAAGAUUGAUUGCUGAAAGAUGGCGUCGCGUCUGAUUAGAUAGUUGGUGAGGUAACGGCCCACCAAGUCAACGAUCAGUAGCCGGACUGAGAGGUUGAACGGCCACAUUGGGACUGAGAUACGGCCCAGACUCCUACGGGAGGCAGCAGUGGGGAAUAUUGGGCAAUGGGGGAAACCCUGACCCAGCAACGCCGCGUGAAGGAAGAAGGCUUUCGGGUUGUAAACUUCUUUUACCAGGGACGAAGGACGUGACGGUACCUGGAGAAAAAGCCACGGCUAACUACGUGCCAGCCGCCGCAGUAA
rnacentral:rRNA from 1 species